CUUAGUUUGGAUCAGGAGUCAGGUUUGAGAUCUCACUUCGACAUGUACAAGUCCUUAGCGAUUAUGGCUGAUAAAGAUAAAAUGAGGAUAGCGGCAACUACAGCAAGUCAGGAUGAAGGCCAGAAGCCACCGCCCAUCCACCCUUUCCAGUAAACAGGCAAUUCUGUUCUUCUUUGAGAGCUUGCUGAAUAUUCAUGGGGAAAAGGAAUGCAAUCUAACACGUGCUUCAUUCAAAUGUAGUGGAGAGUAAUGGGAGCCAGUUUAUCUAUGAACAUAACUGGCUGAUAUCCACAGUAGGUUAUGAGAGACUUCAUCAUGUGUUGUGUGAAGGAUGGCAAA